rnacentral:pre_miRNA from 1 species
GUAUGAUGAUAAUAAUGGUGAUGAAAAUGAUGAUGAUGAUGAUGAUGAGGAUGAUGAUCAUCAUCAUCAUCAUCAUCAUCAUCGUCAUGGCCUUCG